GACGAACGCUGGCGGCGUGCUUAACACAUGCAAGUCGAACGCUGAAGCUCAGCUUGCUGGGUGGAUGAGUGGCGAACGGGUGAGUAACACGUGAGUAACCUGCCCUCUUCUUUGGGAUAACGCCCGGAAACGGGUGCUAAUACUGGAUAUUCACUGAUUCUCGCAUGGGGGUUGGUGGAAAGGUUUUUUCUGGUGGGGGAUGGGCUCGCGGCCUAUCAGCUUGUUGGUGGGGUGAUGGCCUACCAAGGCGUUGACGGGUAGCCGGCCUGAGAGGGUGACCGGUCACAUUGGGACUGGGAUACGGCCCAGAGUCCUACGGGAGGCAGCAGUGGGGAAUAAUGCACAAUGGGCGAAAGCCUGAUGCAGCGACGCCGCGUGAGGGAUGGAGGCCUUCGGGUUGUAAACCUCUUUCGCGCAGGGUCAAGCCGCAGCGUUGGGUUGUGGUGAGGGUAGUGGGUAAAGAAGCGCCGGCUAACUACGUG
rnacentral:rRNA from 1 species